rnacentral:rRNA from 1 species
CGCUAGCUACAGGCUUAACACAUGCAAGUCGAGGGGCAGCAUUAUCGAAGCUUGCUCUGAUAGAUGGCGACCGGCGCACGGGUGAGUAACGCGUAUCCAACCUUCCCCAUAGUCAGGAAUAGCCCGGCGAAAGUCGAAUUAAUGCCUGAUGUUUUCCACGGACGGCAUCCGAUGUGGAACAAAGAUUGAUCGCUAUGGGAUGGGGAUGCGUCUGAUUAGCUUGUUGGCGGGGUAACGGCCCACCAAGGCAACGAUCAGUAGGGGUUCUGAGAGGAAGGUCCCCCACAUUGGAACUGAGACACGGUCCAAACUCCUACGGGAGGCAGCAGUGAGGAAUAUUGGUCAAUGGGCGGAAGCCUGAACCAGCCAAGUAGCGUGAGGGAUGACUGCCCUAUGGGUUGUAAACCUCUUUUAUAAGGGAAUAAAAUACGGGACGUGUCCUGUUUUGCAUGUACCUUAUGAAUAAGGACCGGCUAAUUCCGUG